rnacentral:rRNA from 1 species
UGAGCAAUGUGCCCUUGACUCUGGGAUAAGCGCUGGAAACGGCGUCUAAUACCGGAUACGACGACCGGAGGCAUCUCCUGGUCGUGGAAAGAAUUUCGGUCAAGGAUCAGCUCACGGCCUAUUAGUUAGUUGGUGAGGUAACGGCUCACCAAGACGGCGACGGGUAGCCGGCCUGAGAGGGUGACCGGCCACACUGGGACUGAGACACGGCCCAGACUCCUACGGGAGGCAG